AACGAACGCUGGCGGCAGGCCUAACACAUGCAAGUCGAACGCCGUAGCAAUACGGAGUGGCAGACGGGUGAGUAACACGUGGGAACGUACCCUUCGGUUCGGGAUAACUCAGGGAAACUUGAGCUAAUACCGGAUACGUCCGAGAGGAGAAAGAUUUAUCGCCGAGGGAUCGGCCCGCGUCUGAUUAGCUUGUUGGUGAGGUAACGGCUCACCAAGGCGACGAUCAGUAGCUGGUCNGAGAGGAUGAUCAGCCACAUUGGGACUGAGACACGGCCCAAACUCCUACGGGAGGCAGCAGUGGGGAAUAUUGGACAAUGGGCGCAAGCCUGAUCCAGCCAUGCCGCGUGAGUGAUGAA
rnacentral:rRNA from 1 species